UUUCCGUAGGUGAACCUGCGGAAGGAUCAUUACUGAGAUGGGGUCCCUCGGGGCCCGACCUCCAACCCUUUUGUGAACCACCUCGUUGCUUCGGGGGCGACCCUGCCGUUCGCGGCGUGGGGCCCCCGGAGCCCAUCAAACCCUGCGUAACUAAGUCGUCGGAGUUUAAACAAAUUAAACAAAACUUUCAACAACGGAUCUCUUGGUUCGGGCAUCGAUGAAGAACGCAGC
rnacentral:misc_RNA from 1 species